rnacentral:tRNA from 1 species
AUCCAGGUAUGGGAAUUGAAUUCCCAGUGUUCCACUUAUCGGGCAGAUGCCAUGUCCACUAGGCUACCCUGGA